GGUGCCAAGACCCUUUGCUUUAAAAUAUUGAUGCCAAGGCUUUCAGUUAACAAUUUUGGAAAAUCUUGGACUAGAAUGUAAUAUACUUGUUUUAUUUUGCACAGCUUGCACCAGCAGAAAAGAUGGCAGCAUUUUGUUUAACUGAACCAUCCAGUGGAUCUGAUGCGGGGUCCAUACGCACCCGAGCUGAGCUAAGCAGUGAUGGGAAACAUUAUAUUUUAAAUGGAGGCAAGCUAUGGAUCAGUAAUGGGGGAGUAGCAGACAUUUUUACAGUCUUUGCCAAGGUAUAAAAUAUUCAGCUGC